AAGGAGCACCACGAAAAACACUCCCAAUUGGUGGGGGUGUAGCCGUGAGAAGUCUGUGCGCUGUAGUGGCGCCGGCUUGGUGCACAACAAACUUGUAGAACUGCCAGACACACUAUUGGGCUUUGAGACAACAGGCCCGUGCCCCUUUUCGGGGGGUGGCAUCCGGUUGCGGGUGUCGGCGUGUUGUUGCUCCGCUUUGGUGGUGGGGUGUGGUGUUUGAUUUGUGGAUAGUGGUUGCGAGCAUCUAGCACGCAGAAUUGUUGGUCUCACUCUUUGUGGGUGGGGCUGGUUUUGUGUGUUGAUGUGCAAUUUCUUUUGAAACUCAUUUUUGGUUUUUGUG
rnacentral:misc_RNA from 1 species